GACGAACGCUGGCGGCGUGCUUAACACAUGCAAGUCGAACGGAAAGGCCCUGCUUUUGUGGGGUGCUCGAGUGGCGAACGGGUGAGUAACACGUGAGUAACCUGCCCUUGACUUUGGGAUAACUUCAGGAAACUGGGGCUAAUACCGGAUAGGAGCUCCUGCUGCAUGGUGGGGGUUGGAAAGUUUCGGCGGUUGGGGAUGGACUCGCGGCUUAUCAGCUUGUUGGUGGGGUAGUGGCUUACCAGGGCUUUGACAGGUAGCCGGCCUGAGAGGGUGACCGGCCACAUUGGGACUGAGAUACGGCCCAGACUCCUACGGGAGGCAGCAGUGGGGAAUAUUGCACAAUGGGCGGAAGCCUGAUGCAGCAACGCCGCGUGCGGGAUGACGGCCUUCGGGUUGUAAACCGCUUUCGCCUGUGACGAAGCGUGAGUGACGGUAAUGGGUAAAGAAGCACCGGCUAACUACGUG
rnacentral:rRNA from 1 species